rnacentral:rRNA from 1 species
UACGUAGGGUGCAAGCGUUAAUCGGAAUUACUGGGCGUAAAGCGUGCGCAGGCGGCUUUGCAAGACAGAUGUGAAAUCCCCGGGCUUAACCUGGGAACUGCAUUUGUGACUGCAUGGCUAGAGUGCGGCAGAGGGGGAUGGAAUUCCGCGUGUAGCAGUGAAAUGCGUAGAUAUCGGGAGGAACACCUGAGGCGAAGGCGGGCUACUGGGCCGAUACUGACGCUGAUGUGCGAAAGCCAGGGGAGCGAACGGG